rnacentral:rRNA from 1 species
GAUGAACGCUGGCGGCGUGCCUAAUACAUGCAAGUCGAGCGAACAGACGAGAGUGCUUGCACUCUCUGACGUUAGCGGCGGACGGGUGAGUAACACGUGGGUAACCUACCUAUAAGACUGGGAUAACUUCGGGAAACCGGAGCUAAUACCGGAUAAUAUUUAGCUUCGCAUGAAGCAAUAGUGAAAGACGGUUCUGCUGUCACUUAUAGAUGGACCCGCGGUGUAUUAGCUAGUUGGUGAGGUAACGGCUCACCAAGGCAACGAUACAUAGCCGACCUGAGAGGGUGAUCGGCCACACUGGGACUGAGACACGGCCCAGACUCCUACGGGAGGCAGCAGUAGGGAAUCUUCCGCAAUGGACGAAAGUCUGACGGAGCAAUGCCGCGUGAGUGAAGAAGGUUUUCGGAUCGUAAAACUCUGUUGUAAGGGAAGAACAAGUACGUUAGCAACUGAACGUACCUUGACGGUACCUUACCAGAAAGCCACGGCUAACUACGUG